rnacentral:lncRNA from 1 species
AUGUGUAAAUUACUUAUGAUUGAAUUCCUAACCCUAUAUUCCUAUAUUCAUCAUUUUGAAUGUUCCAGAUAUCUUUCGUGUUUUAACAUUUGCUACAAGAUUUCCAGACAGUGCCUGAUAUAUGGGAACAACAGGAUACCAGUGCUUCAGAAUGGAAAUGUGACUACUUUAGAUGAGAUGCCAAGUUCAUUUAAUCAUUUAGGUACUCAUAUAUUUAAAAAAAAGAAAAAAGUGUGUCUGCUUUCUAUGUGUCAGAUGCUACAGUGGGAGCUCAAGAUAAAGUGGGAAACAAGAUCCACAAAGUCCUGUCCUUACGCAGUUUACAUUCAAAUAUGGUAUUGUGUCCUCUGUAAAUUUAAGCCAAAUACUUCCACCAGCAAUGUUGAUUUUCUGGUAACAGUCAUGAACUCAUCCUGCCUGGUAACAUGGCAUUUUAUGAUAUACGAAUUCCCAUCUUCCCUGCUAUAUCAAGGUCUUUUUCCAUUUCUGCAUGUAUUGUAUUUUUUUGACCAACCAUUUAUUUAGCAU